GUGAUGGGGGACACUGUUGGGACCGCCUCUGCUAAAGAGGAGGAAGGAAUGGGCAACGGUAGGUCAGCAUGCCCCGAAUUAUCUGGGCUACACGCGGGCUACAAUGGGUGGGACAAUGGGUAUCGACACCGAAAGGUGAAGGCAAUCUCCUAAACCCAUCCGUAGUUCGGAUUGUGGGCUGCAACUCGCCCACAUGAAGCUGGAAUCUGUAGUAAUCGUGUCUCAAAAUGGCACGGUGAAUAUGUCCCUGCUCCUU
rnacentral:rRNA from 1 species